UGCCAGCCGCCGCGGUAAUACGGAGGGUGCGAGCGUUAUCCGGAAUUAUUGGGUUUAAAGGGUGCGUAGGCGGAAAUUUAAGUCGGUGGUGAAAGCCUGCAGCUUAACUGUAGAAUUGCCAUUGAUACUGGAUUUCUUGAAUCUAAUAGAAGUAGGCGGAAUAUGACAUGUAGCGGUGAAAUGCUUAGAUAUGUCAUAGAACACCGAUAGCGAAGGCAGCUUACUAAAUUGUCACUGACGCUGAGGGACGAAAGCGUGGGGAGCGAACAGGAUUAGAUA
rnacentral:rRNA from 1 species